CUAUAACGGUUCUAAGGUAGCAAAAUUCUUUGUUGGGUAAGUUCCGACCCGCACGAAAGGUGUAACGAUCUGGGCACUGUCUCAGAGAGAGGCUCGGUGAAAUAGACAUGUCUGUGAAGAUGCAGACUACCUGCACCUGGACAGAAAGACCCUAUGAAGCUUCACUGUUCCCUGGGAUUGGCUUUGGGCUUUUCCUGCGCAGCUUAGGUGGAAGGCUAAGAAGGCCUCCUUCCGGGGGGGCCCAAGCCAUCAGUGAGAUACCACUCUAAAAGAGCUAGAAUUCUAACCUUGUGUCAGGACCUACAGGCCAAGGGACAGUCUCAGGUAGACAGUUUCCAUGGGGCGUAGGCCUCCCAAAAGGUAACGGAGGCGUGCAAAGGUUUCCUCGGGCCGGACGGAGAUUGGCCCUCGAGUGCAAAGGCAGAAGGGUUCUUGUCUGUCCCAAUCACGCAGCCCCUUGCAUCCGACCUCCAUAAAUAGCCUGCAAUUAUAAAUUACAACAAUCACAAUAUUGCUUUUGAUAACACAAAAACUGUUUUUCUCAUUUUCUACAUAACAUACCCCUAAUUCUACAGCUUCAAGGCCUAAAAUAGCACGGCUCGAUCCUUUUUCAAAUUUGAAGUCCUACCAAGCUGCCCCAAAUCCACUUGUAAAUCCACAUGAAAGGAAGCUAGCAAGUGAAAGACCUUUCCUGGAUCAACUUCCACAACAUAAUUAACAUCAACCACCAUAUAUUAGCUAUUGUGGACCAUGUAAAUAGGAGAUACAAUUUUUGGCCUCUUAUGGACACUCUUGAACCGGCUUAACCCAUGGAUAUAUAGCAAUGAAUGGAUUUUUUUGUCAUAAAUUGACCAUUUCCGAUGUGCAAGUUUCAUAAAUUUUACAUUCUCCAUUGUAAGUUGGAAUCACAAUAUCUCCUUUAAAUUCUUUCACUGUUGGAAUCAUAAUAUCUCGUUCUUCAAAUUCUUCCACUUCAUAACCGACACUCUCCACCAACCUACACUUUCAUUAAAAAAAAAAUCAAAAUUAACCUCUUAAUUUCAUGAUACAACUCUAUAAUUCUGUACAUAUAAAGUGGGUUUUUAAUUAGGGAUUCUUUACCAUAUUAAAGUCAGAAAUGAACUAAAAGACCAAAAAACACAUAUUUCAAUACAGUAAAAGAUAAAAUACAUUGUGAUGGAGUCCAUUCUUUUUUGUUUGUUAGCUUAUCCCUGAUUUAAUAUGGUAAGGGAUCCUUGAUUGGAACAUUUCUCAUAUAUAUAUAUAUGUGUGUGUGUGCACUCGCGCUAAUCUGAUCCAGCAUCCUAGACCUUAUUAAAGUCAUGAAAAGCUAUUAAAUUGUGUGGUUUAGUAGUAUAAAUCAUUACACUAUUAAUCAUAUGGUUUAAAUUUUUUUUUCCGAACUUUAACAAAAUCAAGAUCUUAGAUUGGAAUAAAUGCAAUGAAUAAACGGAGAGGGGAAUUAAGUUGCCAGUAAGUUAAAUAAUAAACACACACAUACACACACACAAACAUAAUUUAAAAAAAAAAAAAAAAAAAAGGUAAACUUACUCAUGCUCUAGAACACGAGGAAAAAGAGGCAGAAUGAUGUAGGACGCGCACAAGAUAGAAUAAAUUAGAAAUACUAGAUUUUGAGUGAACAGAGUUUUGUUUACAACAAACUUCAUUUGAUUCCAAGAGCCCAUAAAGUUUGUUGUUUGAUUCAGCACAUUUUUUCUUUUAGGUAAAAUAAUUUUAAUUGAUAUUGAUGAAGGAAAAAAAAAUGGUGGAUUUUUUAAGUUAAUAUGAGAAGACGAUGAGCUUCAAAAUGCCACAACUGUAUAGAUUAAGGCUAAAUUCAUUUUCUUUUUCCUUAUAAGGUGAACUUUGCAAAGAUAAAGAUAAAUGUGAGCAACUUUAGAAUUAUAUUGGAAACUUCAUUACGUUUACUUUUUCUUUUUAAAUAUUUUUGUUAUCCAUCUUCUUCUAACUUUGGAUUCUAAAUCUAAUAUUGUCAUAAGAUCGGUUGAUAAAAAUAAAUCAUAUGUUCCUACUAUAUUUCUCAUUCAAAUAAUAAUAAUAUGCAAUUAUGUCAUAUCAGCUUCUAUAACAUUAUUUGUACAAAAUAUUUUUGGUUGUAUCAUUAUUCAUAACAUAUUAACUACGAUUCUCUUAAUUUUUUGAAAGAGUAUUCUCUUACUUGAUCAUAUUUUUGUUUAAUGUUUUGGCUAUCCAACCAUGUUUUUAAGGAAGUAGUAAAUCAAUUAUAAAAUUCCAUAAAAAGGAUCUUAUUCUUCGUUGAUUAGAGAUUUCUUUAUGAAGAAUAUGAAUCAAAUUUUGAAGAAGGGAAAGGGUCCUUGACCCGGAAGCUUAAGUCUAACAAUGAAAUUAAAUAAUAAUAAUUUUUUUUAUACACUCUCCUGACUACUAACUACACUCCCAUGACUUAUUUUAUAAAAUAUAAGCUAAAAUAUAUAAAUAUACUUCUUUCACCUCAUUAAACCAAAUAGAGCGCUACUCUUAUUUUUGUACUGAAUUUGUUUACAAAGCCGUGAUUGAUAGUUGUUAUAUAGACAAGGAAUGCUUGUAUGAUAGUUAUUAUACGUACAAGGAAUGCAUGUGACAUAAAAUUAUUAAAAGAUAAUAAUGAGGUAAGUAUUGAAUCCAAUUCGAUUAUUAAAAGCUAACAGCAAAAGAAGAAAGAGACAAGAAGAUAGAAGUAUGUGUAAGAAACAAAAGCAAAUGAGGCUUAUAAGAUUUUGAUCUCAAUUUUUAAAGGGUAACACCAUUCAAAUCCUAAUAAGGACCUUGACACAAUCAGGUUGCUUCAAUAGCUGAAUUGCCUCGCCAAUCUCUUCCAAUUUAACAUGAUGGUUCAAAAGUUGAUGAAGUUUAAGUUCCUUGUUCUUGCAUGUGUCAAGCAGUAUCGGAAGGCAGAUUUUGUUUUGAUCCCCCCCGAAAACGGCAGCCUUCAAAGUCCGGCCACCUAUACCAAUUAAUUUCACAUUUCCUUUUCCCCAUUCGAUACUUAACAUUUCAUUGUCUCAUACUUUUCGAGUAAUUUUUUUUGCACCUCACAAUUUUUGUUUUACAUGUCUUGUAAUUAAUGAUAGGUUCUAAUAAAAAAGUUGUAUUAAAAAAAAUGUAUAGUACACAACCAAAAUUAAAUUAUGGGAUUCAACCCAAAAAAUAAAAGAUUGAUAGCGUAACAUUCAGAAACUUGUCAUAGUUGUGUAGUAUUCUGAUGCAUAUAAUGUCACAUAAAUAAUACAGAUUGAAAAAGAAUUGAUGAAUAAAUAAAUAAAGAUGGCGGCGAAGUUAGGGCGUCAAAACCCUGAAAUCAAAUUUUUUGCAUUGAUAGAGAUGAUAUUUACUUUCACUACAUUUGAACAAAAUUUUCUUCCGAGAAAUUGCCUCAUUUGAUUUUUUUUCUUUUUUAACAAAUAAGAAUCUUUUAAUGAUUUGAGUGCUAAGAUCUUAAAUUUUUAAAAUUUUGUGCCACAUAUCUACUAGUAUGAAUGCAUAGUUGAUAUGUAAUUAACUUUUAGAACUUUUAGAACUAGGCAUUUGUGACACAAACUCCAGAAGCAACCUCACAAGUUAAAAAUUUUAUAUAUUGUUUGGGAAAAUCUAACUUUUAAGUUAUAACACUAAAGUAUUUAGCUCCACUUGUUGAUGUAGUUCAUAAACUAAAUUGAUUUUAUCUCACACAAGUAUGAUAAAAAAAAACAUAUAAUAUAUUUACUAUUUCCAUCAAAAUGAUUUUCUAAAAUCAUAUUUAUACAUUAUUAAUUUUGAUUUCAUAAUUACAAUUUUCAUUCUAUAGCAACUAUAACUUUCAAAGCACAACCCCUCAAUAUUAAACAAGACAAAAGUUUGUGUCUUUAAAAUCCUGGUAAAUUCCAUGUUGUCAUAUAUGUAUAGGUUGUAAAAGAUUUUCAAAAAAAAAAAAAAUUGAUUGCUUUUUGAAAAGCAUUCUGAUGCUAUAAAAGAAGAUAUAAAAAUUGGACAAUCUCCGACAUUAUAAAUUCUGAAACCAAUUUGAAAUAUUCGAAAACGGUCGUCCGUGGUUCCUUUUGAAGCAAUAUUAAUUUAUUUGUGCUGGAUCAAAAUAUGAAGAAUCAUAACCAUGUUUAAGAAAAUGUGCGGGGAAAGAGUAAUAUUUUCUUUCAAUAUUCUAUAUAGUUUACGAGACACUAAUCAGGCCUAUUUAUAUUGGAAUUAAAAAAUUAUACAAUUAUAAAUACUUUGUACAAACUUGACAAGAAUUUUCUUUUUUUUUUUAUGAGCAAAUAAAAUUUUGUAGUUAGUAAUUAUUAUAUUGAAACAUUAUAAAGAAAUAAAUCUUGAUCAUAUAUAAAUUAAAAAGCACACGACGUGCCAAAAGAUCUUUCAAAACUCAAAUAAGUUUAGAUAAUGAGAGGAUUUAUGUCGCAUACAAAUAAGUGUGUACAAAAAUAAUAUGAUAUCAAAAGAUUAUUUUGGUAAAAACAAUUAUUUGGAUAAGGGUAACUUUAGAUUUUACCCUACUUAAAAUGAUAAUUUUCAAUUUAUGCUUAAAGAUGUUGAAAAUAUCAAUUUAUUCUUAUUUACUAUUAAGAAAAUAAAAUAUAAAUACAUCUACAUGCCCCCACUUAUUUUCAUGUUUUAAAUGAAAAUAAGUAAAUUAAUAUUUACAUAUUUUUAGAAGGUAAAUUAAACAUUAUUAUUAUUUGGGGUUAAAAAAGAUGUUUACCCCUCGAAUAAAUUGUUCGACUGUAGAAUCGUUUGACUUUUCCCGACAGCCAGGCGAUGUGUCUUCCAAAAGGAUCAGGAUCCUCUCCAAAUCCGAUGUUCAUUUGAAAAAAUUUUAUUAAUAUGAUUGGUGGUUAAUAAAUUAAAAAAAAAUAGUUAGAUCUUAAUCAUCCACUAACACUAAAACACAUGUGGCACAAGAUCUGUAAAAGAUUAGGAGUGCUCAGAUCAUGAGAGGAUCCUGAUCUCUUCCAAAAUCACGUACCCAAUUGCCUUUGACUAAUCUUGUAUGCCUAACUAUAGUUAAUUUCCUUAAUCUGAUGGUGAAGUCUCUUUCACAAAUUAACUCUCCUAUUUUUCUUUUGAGUGAUGAUACAGUCACAAAUAUUUGUACAAACUUAUCUUGUACAAAUUGACGUAGCAUUAAUUCACAAAUUAACUCUCCCAUUUUUCUUUUAAAUAGUGAUAUAAUCACAAAUUUUUAUACAAACUUAUCUUAUACAAAUUGAUGUGACAUUAAUUCAUUAUUUGAAUAAAAAUAUAAAAUAAUAAAAAUAAAUUAUAUGGGCUAAGAAAUAUUUAAUUCAUUAAUUUUAUCAUAUCAUAUUAAUUUAUAUAAAAUAAAUUUAUAUAAAAAUUUGUGGCUCAGAAUUCUAUUGAAACUAUCUAAAUCAAUUCUACUAAUCACAACCUAAAAUUUGCAGCUGAAACUAUUCUGCCCGCAAAUUAAUGAAGGAGAAAGCUAUUCCUCCCUGUACUCAAUUACAUGUUAUUAUAUAAUUAAGAAUAGACCAGUGGGCUAGGCCUAGCUAGGUGAUCACCGUUAAAAACGUCAUUAUUUAUUUAUCAGUUCAGACGUCAGAGAAGAUCAUGACACCAAAUAAAUAAAGCGAGUGACUCAUUCAAUACAUUAAUAAUAUAACAUUAAAAGAUAACAAAUUAUUGAAACCAAUAGAAUCUGGGCCCACGCCCAUCUUAAGAAACUCACUCAACUUUUGCGGUUGAGUCAACGGUUUCAUUGAAGUGGCCUUAUUCAGAGCUCAUCUCCGCUCGAAAUUCGAAGCUGCAAAAUCUACAGCAAUACUAACAAUGAGCAAUUCACAAGCCAUAACGUGCAAAGGUAUGAAAAAGGCUAUUAAUCCAAUUAUUGCGUAAAAUUUAGAAACAAGUUAUACGAACUGGGUUGGUUUGUUUGUUGUUAGAUUUUUGUGUCGUUUUGAUGGGAAAUUUUUUUGAUAUGUUUUUGUUGCAGCUGUGGUAUGCUGGGGUUUAGGAGAGCCAUUAAAGGUAGAGGAGAUACAAGUAGAGCCUCCGAAAUCAACUGAAGUUAGGGUUAAGAUGCUUUAUGCCAGUGUUUGUCACACUGAUAUCCUUUGCUCUGAAGGAUUCCCAGCGGUUAGUAUAUGUAGUAUCAACUAUAUACCAUAAAUCUUGGUUAAUAAUUUAAUCUGUUUUGUUCUUUUAUUUUUUUUUCAGCCUCUCUAUCCUCGUGUUCUCGGGCACGAAGGUGUCGGGUAAGUACUGAUUUCCUUGUUAUGUAUGUAUAUACACAAUUGCACGAAUGUAUCACUUCAUCUAUAUACAUAAAACUAAGAAGUUAAUUUUGGAAUUUUUGUUUUUUAAUGCAAUUCGUAGGGUGGUGGAGAGUGUUGGGGAUGAAGUGAAAGAAGUCAAAGAAGGAGAUAUUGUGAUUCCAACUUAUGUUGGAGAAUGUAAAGAUUGUGAAAAUUGCACAUCACGAAUCAGCAAUUUAUGCCUAAAAUAUCCAAUAGCACUGAACGGUUUAAUGCUUGAUGGCACUUCAAGAAUGUCCGUGAGAGGCCAAAAAUUGUAUCACAUUUUUUCAUGCUCCACUUGGUCUGAAUAUAUGGUCAUCGAUGCCAAUUAUGUAGUCAGAGUUGAUCCAAGCAUAGACCUUUCGCAUGCUAGCUUCCUUUCAUGUGGAUUUACAACUGGUUAUGGGGCGGCUUGGAAGGAAGCCAAAGUUGAAAAAGGAUCUAGUGUUGCUGUUUUAGGCCUUGGUACUGUUGGAUUAGGGGUAUGUUACGUACAAAAUGGGAAAAACAAUUUUAGUGUUGUCAAAAGCAAUGUUGUGAUUGUUGUAAUUUGUAAUUGCAGGCUGUUGAUGGAGCCAGGAUGCAAGGGGCAGCUAAGAUAAUUGGGAUAGACAAGAACCCAUGGAAAAAAGAAAAGGGGGAAGCUUUUGGAAUGACAGAUUUCAUAAACCCUGAUGAUGAACCAAACAAGUCAAUUUCAGAAUUGGUGAAGGGGAUAACUCAUGGAAUGGGUGUGGAUUAUUGCUUCGAGUGCACUGGGGUUCCAUCUUUACUUUCUGAAGCACUUGAAACAACAAAAGUGGUAAGUUAAAAAUCUUGCAACACUUGAGAUAUGUAACCCAAAAAAAAAAAAGGAAAUUACUGACAUUCUUUUUUAAAUGGGGAACAGGGAAAAGGAAAAGUGAUAGUAAUUGGGGUAGGAGUUGAUACGAUGGUGCCACUGAACGUAAUCGCUCUUGCAUGUGGUGGCCGGACUUUGAAAGGGACCACUUUUGGUGGGAUCAAAACAAAAUCCGACCUUCCGAUACUGUUUGACAAAUGCAAGAACAAGGAAUUUAAACUUCAUCAACUCUUGACCCAUCAUUUUAAAUUGGAAGAGAUCGACAAGGCAAUUCAGCUGUUGAAGCAACCUGAUUGUGUCAAGGUCCUGAUCACGAUUUGAUAGGUUUUAUCCUAUGCUCUCCUUGUGUUAAAUUCGUGAUCAAAAUCUUAAGAUCUGCUCUUGAGAUCCCUUCUAUUUAUGUUCACGCCUAAUCUCAUCACCAAACCUCUAAUUUGUAAUAAAGAAAGAACAUCUUAAGAUCUGCUCUUGAGAUCCCUUCUAUUUAUGUUCACGCCUAAUCUCAUCACCAAACCUCUAAUUUGUAAUAAAGAAAGAAUGGAGCUUUUGCAGAUUCAGCUUAAGUUUUAACAUUGCACUUUUAAGUACAAAAUGUAAACAUUAAAAAGGAACCUCAAACCAAUAUAAAAAACCAUGAACACAUCUGAUUUUCAGGCAUUAUGCGAUUUGCAGUAAAUUGGAAAUUGUUAUGCAAAGUACAGUAGGUAUCUUUAGAACUUUGGAAACAAAUCCUUACAUGGUAGCUUCUACUUCAGGGUCAAUUUCCACUGGCACUUUAGGAGCACUAUUGCCACCUCUCAAACGUGAAGAUACAUUGUCAAUAGCAUUAUUAAGUUGGCUGAUUUUCGCGUUCAAGGUCUGCCUGGUCCUCUGCUUCAGAGGAAAGGGAAUACAAUUCAAAGUUUGAAGAGAAGGAACAAUAUAACCUCAUGUUCCAAGUAAGAGUGAAUAAUG
rnacentral:lncRNA from 1 species